rnacentral:rRNA from 1 species
AAUCAACGCGGGCGGCGUGCUAACACAUGCAAGUCGAACGAGAAAGUGGAGCAAUCCAUGAGUAAAGUGGCGACCGGGUGAGUAACACGUGACUAACCUACCUGUGAGUGGGGGAUAACAUCGGGAAACCGAUGCUAAUACCGCAUAACAUCGCAAGAUCAAAGCAGCAAUGCGCUUAAAGAGGGGGUCGCGGCUGAUUAGCUAGUUGGCGGGGUAACGGCCCACCAAGGCGAAGAUCGGUAUCCGGCCUGAGAGGGCGCACGGACACACUGGAACUGAAACACGGUCCAGACUCCUACGGGAGGCAGCAGUGGGGAAUUUUGCGCAAUGGGGGAAACCCUGACGCAGCAACGCCGCGUGGAGGAUGAAGUCCCUUGGGACGUAAACUCCUUUCGACCAAGACGAUAAUGACGGUACUGGUGGAAGAAGCACCGGCUAACUCUGUGCCAGCAGCCGCGGUAAUACAGAGGGUGCAAGCGUUGUUCGGAAUUAUUGGGCGUAAAGGGCGCGUAGGCGGCGCGACAAGUCACCUGUGAAAUCUCCGGGCUUAACUCGGAGCCUGCAGGCGAAACUGUCG